AACGAACGCUAGCGGCAGGCUUAACACAUGCAAGUCGAACGGAUUUCCCCUCGCUUGCGGGGGGGAAUUAGUGGCAGACGGGUGCGUAACACGUGGGUACUUACCCGGUAGUAUGGAAUAGUCACCGGAAACGGUGGGUAAUACCAUAUACUCCUUACGAGGGAAAGAUUUAUCGCUAUCGGAUAGGCCUGCGCUAGAUUAGCUAGUUGGUGUUGGUAAUGGCUCACCAAGGCUUUGAUCUAUAGCCGGUCUGAGAGGAUGAUCGGCCACACUGGAAUUGAGAACGGUCCAGACUUCUACGGAAGGCAGCAGUGGGGAAUAUUGGACAAUGGGCGCAAGCCUGAUCCAGCUAUGCCGCGUGGGUGAUGAAGGUCUUAGGAUUGUAAAGCCCUUUUAGCGAGGAGGAUAAUGACGUUACUCGCAGAAAAAGUCCCGGCUAACUUCG
rnacentral:rRNA from 1 species